rnacentral:rRNA from 1 species
AUUGAACGCUGGCGGCAGGCCUAACACAUGCAAGUCGAGCGAGAGGCGGACGGGUGAGUAAUGUAUGGGGAUCUGCCCGAUAGAGGGGGAUAACUACUGGAAACGGUGACUAAUCCCGCAUAUUAUCGGAUGAACCCAUAUGGGAUUAGCUAGUAGGUGGGGUAACGGCUCACCUAGGCGACGAUCUCUAGCUGGUCUGAGAGGAUGAUCAGCAAAACUGUGAAUGAGACACGGCCCAGACUCCCACGUGAGGCAGCAGUGGGGAAGAGUGAACAAUGGGGGCAAGCCUGAUGCAGCCAUGCCGCGUGUAUGAUGAAGGCCUUAGGGUUGUAAAGUACUUUCAGCGGGGAGGCGUUACCCGCAGAAGAAGCACCGGCUAACUCCGUGCCAGCAGCCGCGGUAAUAC